ensembl:lncRNA
AUCACGAAAGUUACCCCUUGAUAUAAUAUUGAUUCUUUAUAACUAGCUCCAAACACAAAAAUCAAACUGUCCACUUGACCAUCAUCAUCAUCAAUAUCAUCACAAAGGCUCCGGAAUAAAGAUCAGCACAGGACUGAAAACGCUUUCUAUAAUCUGCCCACCUAAUCUUUAUUUGCUGAUGAUGAAAGGAGAAGGGGUGUGCGCGUGUGUGUGUGUGUGUGUGUGUGUGUGUGUGUCUGUGUGCGAGCGCUGUCCGGGCGGGGGAUGGGGGGGGGAUGGGGGGGGGGGAGGGCAUCGGAGCAGGGAAUGUCAUCUGAGCAAACAAAAAACAACACAGGAGGUUAAGAAAAAAAAAAGCCCGCUCAGCCUCCUUGCCAAGAAACCCAAUGAUGAUCGCAGAAGUUAACGAUCGCGCCCCGAAGCUCUGCUUUCCUGGAGGAGGGGAACCCCGCGCUCGGCAGGCCCGGCUUUGGGUUUAUGCUUCUUCCCCCCCCCCCCCCCGAGCGGAGCGGUCCUCAGUGAAGGCAGAGAGUUAAGUAAGAAAGCAACCGCGGCAGAGUGCUCCUCGCUUAGCAUCAGCACUAACGAGUCGUCCUCUCCCCUCGCCCGUCCGCAAAGCGAUCCAUCAUUUAUUUCCAGAUCACCUGGUGAUCUGUAACACAGAAAGAAAAAAAAAAGAGAGAGAGAGAUUAAGGAAGGAGCCGCCGACACCGCUCCAUGCGCAAUACCUAUCGGCUGAUGUAGAAAAGAAAGCAUAAUCCACAUGUAUAUUGCCUUUAACGAAAGGUAUUUCCUUCGCCUUCCCUCCCUACAGUACCGGCAUGCUUUUGCUGAGGGCUGCGUUUGCACAGUCGCCAGUAAUUACACGCGUGUGUCCGCCGGGAGAACGAAGGUUGGGAAGGUGGGAGGUAGGACGUGAUUCCUCUUUGGAGCAAUCAGGACUGGGAAAGGUUUCAUUCCGUGCAGACGUUGCCUUUGCUAGAUGGUGUCUCCCUUCGUGAGGAAUGGUGCUAAAAGUGGAUGGAAUCUGUUAAAGACACUGCUCUGCAUAUGGAAUUAUGGCAGAACUGACACUGACUAGAUCCUCCACAUUGGAGUUCAGUGAACCAAAGUGAGCUGCACUAUUUCCGUGCUUGACCUGCAGUGAGGAAUAUCACAUACAUACUUCUUGACAAUCUCCAGUGAAACUGGAAAAAAACAAACAAACAAAAAAAGUG